rnacentral:rRNA from 1 species
AACGCUAGCUACAGGCUUAACACAUGCAAGUCGAGGGGCAGCAUGAACUUAGCUUGCUAAGUUUGAUGGCGACCGGCGCACGGGUGAGUAACACGUAUCCAACCUGCCGAUGACUCGGGGAUAGCCUUUCGAAAGAAAGAUUAAUACCCGAUGGCAUAGUUCUUCCGCAUGGUGGAACUAUUAAAGAAUUUCGGUCAUCGAUGGGGAUGCGUUCCAUUAGGUUGUUGGCGGGGUAACGGCCCACCAAGCCUUCGAUGGAUAGGGGUUCUGAGAGGAAGGUCCCCCACAUUGGAACUGAGACACGGUCCAAACUCCUACGGGAGGCAGCAGUGAGGAAUAUUGGUCAAUGGACGAGAGUCUGAACCAGCCAAGUAGCGUGCAGGAUGACGGCCCUAUGGGUUGUAAACUGCUUUUAUAAGGGAAUAAAGUGAGUCACGUGUGACUUUUUGCAUGUACCUUAUGAAUAAGGACCGGCUAAUUCCGUGCCAGCAGCCGCGGUAAUACGGAAGGUCCGGGCGUUAUCCGGAUUUAUUGGGCUUAAAGGGAGCGUAGGCCGGAGAUUAAGCGUGUUGUGAAAUGUAGAUGCUCAACAUCUGCACUGCAGCGCGAACUGGUUUCCUUGAGUACGCACAAAGUGGGCGGAAUUCGUGGUGUAGCGGUGAAAUGCUUAGAUAUCACGAAGAACUCCGAUUG